rnacentral:tRNA from 1 species
UAGGAAUUCUCUUCUCAGGCA